AUGCGGCACGUCUUCAUCCGCGCCGGCGCCGCCGCCGUCAAGACCACCGACUACUUCAACCAAGCCUACGGCCCUACCUACUACGUCUGCCGCUUCCAGGAGCCCGGGGUGGCGGAGAAGGAGUUCGCGCCGGCGCACGCGAGGCACCUGAUGACGCGGAUCCUGAGCGACCGCUUCAGCGAGCGCGCGGCCGGCAAGGAGCCCAAGGACGGCGGCGACGACGCCGACGUGGCGCUCCCGCCGUGGCUCACGGAGGCGGACAUCGACUACUUCGCCGCGGCCUUCGAGAAGACGGGCUUCACGGGCGCCAUCAACUACUACCGCAACAUGGACCGGAACUGGGAGCUGGCGGCGCCGUGGGCGGACGCCAAGGUGACGGUGCCGACCAAGUUCAUCGUGGGGGACGGGGACCUGACGUACCACUACGCCGGGAUCCAGGACUACCUGCACAAGGGCGGGCUCAAGGCGGACGUGCCGCUGCUGGAGGAGCUGGUCGUCGUCCCCGGCGCCGGCCACUUCAUCCAGCAGGAUCGGGCGCAGGAGGUCAGCGACCACAUCCACGACUUCAUCGCCAAGUUCUAA
rnacentral:rRNA from 1 species